UACGUAGGGUGCGAGCGUUGUCCGGAAUUACUGGGCGUAAAGAGCUCGUAGGUGGUUUGUCGCGUUGUUCGUGAAAUCUCACGGCUUAACUGUGAGCGUGCGGGCGAUACGGGCAGACUAGAGUACUGCAGGGGAGACUGGAAUUCCUGGUGUAGCGGUGAAAUGCGCAGAUAUCAGGAGGAACACCGGUGGCGAAGGCGGGUCUCUGGGCCAUUACUGACGCUGAGGAGCGAAAGCGUGGGGAGCGAACAGG
rnacentral:rRNA from 1 species